CAUUUUUCGGAGAGGAUGGGAGCUGGCACUGGAGAGGCCAGGGGCGUCCCGCGUCUCGGCAGAAAGGAAAGAAAAUUCACCCUGGCCACAAGAGCUGUAGAUUUAUCGAUUUAUUUAUUUAUAUUUAUUUUUACGACAUUCAAAUAUCCUGUGAGCUCCAGUUUAAAGUGCCCAAAUACAUUGCAUGCAAAUCAGCUACAUUGAGACUGAGCUCGUGAAGACAGUUUGAAUGACACGUGUGAGACAGAACUGGACAUCUAGAUAGAUGCAAGAGAGAGAGAGAAUUGGGGAUGAAUAUUUGGACGUGGUUUAAUACUCCUCUGGGAGAAUUUUGGGGGGUCGGGGAUGUAGGUACCUUAGGCUUCUCCCCAGGCAAAGGCAUCUUUCACAUGCGAGCAACCCCAAACUCCACCUAAGGAGCGAAAGACGUUUGAAAAAAUAUAUCGUUCUGGAGAGGGGGAGGGCAUUUAGAUUCUGUUUCAGAAAAGAAACUGAUGAAAACACAGGAGAAAACCUGCUGCAUUUGUAUUCCCACAGGAAAAAAUAUUUUAAAGAAAGAAUUCCUACAAAGAAAAUAGUUGGUUAUUUCCUGCCAGCUCUGCCAAUUCUGGGUGGGAAGGAAAAUAGACAAGGCAAUAUACUUCAAUCAAUCAAUCAAUCAAUCAAUCAAAAUUGCUCUGUAGUGCUUUGUGCUUCAACCAUGAACAAGAAUACUGGAAUUCUCACAACAGAGCCUGCUCACUGGGCCUGUGCAAGUUGGCAGCGAUCCGAUCCGGCUUCAGAUCUGGCCGCUUCAGAUGGCAAUGAUCGGAUUGGACAAAAACCAACAAAGUUAUAUAUAUUUAACUGAUUUCCCCAUUAUACCCUAUGGCCGGAUCUCCAAGGCAGCUCUGAAGACUUUGGAAGCUCCAAACCGCUUCGGGAAGCCUAAUGAAGCCAGCGCUUCGACCCAGACAUGCUGCUUCGGACCCCGAAGUGUCCAAAGCUUCUCCAGAUCCAAAGCUCUGUCUGAAGCCUCACACAGCCCUGUUAUUUACCAAUAUAGGGAUGAGAAAUAAUUCAAAGUUAUAAUUAAUAUUUUAUAUAUCACUUUAAAUUAUAGGAAUAAAAAUGUACAUAGGGAUCACAAAAAUAUCAGCAUUAAAUAACUGUUAUGACAAAGUACUGAGAUAACAUAGUUUGUCUUAUACUCAGAAAAGGAGACACAAUUACUAUGUAAUAUAUUGAUGGUAAAAUGCUACUUUCAAAAUGUUAUAGUAUAACAAGAAAUAAAAACAGAAAGAACAUGAAGCUGUACUGCUCAAUAACAAAGACUUUACUUUUUGGAAACAUGUACCUAAAUUCUUAACCAUAAUAAUGUCAAAGAAAUCUUGCUGGUAAAAUUGUUCAACAGGCUACAGAAUAAUCUCACAGACUUACUAGAAGGGCGAUUUGAAAACUCUCUUUCUCAAUAUAUAUUAUUCAUUUUAUAUCAUAUAACUAUUAAUAGUAUAUACUAUAUAUAGAAUUAUAUAUAAUACUAUACUUAUAUAUACAUAUGCUGGUGCUUUUAAAAUUGGAAAAUGUGUGCAUGUGUGGUAGGGAGAGCUUAAGGGAAAAAAAACAAAAAUGUCACCAUUCAAUUUUGUCCUAAAUAAAUAAAUUUUGUCCUAAAUAAAUAAAUAAAUAAAUAAAUAAGAAAGAAAAAAGAAAAACUUGAAAAUCAAAAAACUGUUUUGGCUUUUAGCAAUCAAAUCUCAGAAUUUUUUAGUUUGUAGCCCCAAAUUAUUGUUGUUCAGUUGCCUAAAAAUGAAUAUUUUUGGUGUUCUAUUUUUGAAAGAAAAUACCCCAAAUUUCUUUAUGUGGAAAUAGGUAAUUUUCCAAUCAGCUUUAUCAUCUUGUGCUAUAACAAACUGCACUUUUAUUAACUUUGUUGUAAAACUGAAGCCUGGCAGAUAGCACCACAGAUUCUUAAAAACAGAAGACAGCAUUUGCCAUUGGUAACAUUGGGAAUAUAACAGAAUGACAUGACUUUGGGCACAGGUCUGGCAGGAAUUCAGUUUCAGGGAGACAGUCUCUCCUCAGGCAGCUCAAAGCCCAAUCUGAAAAGACAUUGAAACUGCUUCAUCGUAGAAUGAGCUAGGUGGCCAUGGACAUUCUUCAGUUAACAUGCAGUGCACAGGAGAGUCCCUGCGUGGUCCUACCAAGGGCCAUCAGAAGGUUAACAAGCUAUGAAGCCUCCCAUAUGCUGGUACAGAAAUAAGUAGGGCUGUGUGAAGCUUUGGGUACUGAUUCGAUUCGGAGGAGAUUUGGCCCGAUUCGGUGGUUGAACCUCCAAAUCUGAAUCAAAUCAGGGGACCAAUAAAAGGGUCUGAAUUGAUUCGAAGCUCUCCAAAUCUUUGGAAAAGAUUCAGAGAGCUUUGAUGAUUCAGACAGUCGCCAGUGCCUGCAGCAGUGAGCUAGUAAG